CUUGCUCCCUUAGGUCAGCGGCGGACGGGUGAGUAACACGUGGGUAACCUGCCUGUAAGACUGGGAUAACUCCGGGAAACCGGGGCUAAUACCGGAUGCUUGAUUGAACCGCAUGGUUCAAUCAUAAAAGGUGGCUUUUAGCUACCACUUGCAGAUGGACCCGCGGCGCAUUAGCUAGUUGGUGAGGUAACGGCUCACCAAGGCGACGAUGCGUAGCCGACCUGAGAGGGUGAUCGGCCACACUGGGACUGAGACACGGCCCAGACUCCUACGGGAGGCAGCAGUAGGGAAUCUUCCGCAAUGGACGAAAGUCUGACGGAGCAACGCCGCGUGAGUGAUGAAGGUUUUCGGAUCGUAAAACUCUGUUGUUAGGGAAGAACAAGUACCGUUCGAAUAGGGCGGCACCUUGACGGUACCUAACCAGAAAGCCACGGCUAACUACGUGCCAGCAGCCGCGGUAAUACGUAGGUGGCAAGCGUUGUCCGGAAUUUUGGGCGUAAAGCGCGCGCAGGCGGUUUCUUAAGUCUGAUGUGAAACCCCCGGCUCACCGGGGAGGGUCUUGGAAACUGGGGAACUUGAGUGAAAGAGGAGAGUGGAAAUCCACGUGUAGCGGUGAAAUGCGUAGAGAUGUGGAGGAA
rnacentral:rRNA from 1 species